GUGGGGAAUAUUGGACAAUGGGCGAAAGCCUGACGGAGCAAUGCCGCGUGAAGGAUGAAGGCCUAUGGGUUGUAAACUUCUUUUCUCAGAAAAGAAUUAUGACGGUAUCUGAGGAAUAAGCAUCGGCUAACUCUGUGCCAGCAGCCGCGGUAAGACAGAGGAUGCAAGCGUUAUCCGGAAUGAUUGGGCGUAAAGCGUCUGUAGGUUGUUUAAAAAGUAUUCUGUCAAAGAUUAGGGCUUAACCCUAGAUAGGCAGAAUAAACUUUUAAGCUAGAGUUUGGUAGAGGCAGAGGGAAUUCCCGGUGGAGCGGUGAAAUGCGUAGAUAUCGGGAGGAACACCAAAGGCGAAGGCACUCUGCUGGGCCAAUACUAACACUGAGAGACGAAAGCGAGGGGAGCAAAUGGGAUUAGAUACCCCGGUAGUCC
rnacentral:rRNA from 1 species